rnacentral:rRNA from 1 species
AGAGGAUUUGAUCUGGCUCAGAUUGAACGCUGGCGGGAUGCUUACAUGCAAGUCGAACGGCAGCACGGACUUCGGUCUGGUGGCGAGUGGCGAACAGGUGAAGUAUCCCGGAACGUGCCUAGUAGCGGGGAUAACUACGCGAAAGCGUAGCUAAUACCACGCGCACGCCCUUCGGGGGAAAGCGGGGGACCUUCGGGCCUCGCACAUAUUAGAGCCGAUAUCGGAUUAGCUAGUUGGUGGGUAACGGCUCACCAAGGCGACGAUCCGUAGCUGGUUUGAGAGGACGUUAACCCUGCUGGGACACAGGACACGGCCCAGACUCCUACGGGAGGCAGCAGUGGGGAAUUUUGGACAAUGGGGGAAACCCUGAUCCAGCCAUCCCGCGUGUUGAUGAAAGCCUUCAGGUUGUAAGCUUGCACGGCGGGAAGAAACGGCACGGGAUAAUACCCCGUGCAACUGACUGACCUGCAGAAUAAGCACCGGCUAACUACGUGCCGGCAACCGCCGGUAAUACGUAGAGGUGCAGCGUUAAUCAGGUACUGGGGCGUAAAGCGUGCGCAGGCGGUUCCGGAAGAAAGUGUGAAAUCCCCAGAGCUUAUCUUUGGAACUGCAUUUUUAACUCACCGAGCUAGAGUGUGUCAGAGGUAAAGAUUCUGCGUGUAGCAGUGAAAUGCGUAGAUGUACGGAGAGGAACACCGAUGGCGACGGCCUCCUGGGAUACCGCGCGGCAGCUCCUUGCGCGAAAGCGUGGGGAGCAAACAAGGAUUAGAUACCUGUUAGUCACGCACUAAACUUGAUGUCAACUAGCUGUUGGGGCCCUUCCAGACCUUGGUGGCAACUAACGCGUGAAGUUGACCGCCUGGGAGAUGCAGUGCGGAGUUAAAACUCAAAGGAAUUGACGGGGACCCGCACAAGCGGUGGAUGAUGUGGAUUAAUUCGAUGCAACGCGAAAAACCUUACCUACCUUGACAUGUCUAUCCGAAGGAAUUUAGUGCUCGCGAGAACCAGUUUCUGGGUGCGCCAUGGCUGUCGAUCGCUCGUGUCGUGAGAUGUUGGGUUAAGUCCCGCAACAGCACAACCCUUGUCAUUAGUUGCUACGAAGAACUCUAAUAAGGCUGCGGUGGUGGCUCGGAGGAAGGUGGGGAUGACGUCAAGUCCUCAUGGCCCACCGGGUGGGGCUACACACGUCAUACAAUGGUGUCGGGACAGAGGGUCGCCAACCCGCGAGGGGCCAAUGCGAAAGCCGAUCGUAGUCUGGAUCGCAGUCUGCAACUCGACUGCGUGAAGUCGAUCUAUAAUAAUCGCGGAUCAGCAUGUCGCGGUGAAUACGUUCCCAGGUCUUUGUUUACCACCGCCGUCACCAUGGGGGUGGUUUGCAAGUAGUUAGCUGGCAGCAAGGAGGGCGAUUACCACGGUAGGAUUCAUGACUGGGGUGAAGUCGUAACAAGGUA